rnacentral:misc_RNA from 1 species
GAUGAAGACGCAGCGAAAUGCGAUAAGUAAUGUGAAUUGCAGAAUUCAGUGAAUCAUCGAAUCUUUGAACGCACCUUGCACCCUUUGGCAUUCCGAAGGGUAUGCUCGUUUGAGUGUCAUUGUACUCUCACACUUCCGAUCUUUGGAUUGGGAGCGGUGGACUUGGGUGUUGCUGCUUACUGUGGCUCACCUCAAAUCGAUUCGUGCACCUCUUGGUUGGACAUAGUACGGCGUGAUAAGUGUCUUCGCCGGCACCUCAGUAGAGGGUGGCUGAUCGGGAGCUCUGCUUCAAACCGUCCUCGGACAACAACUGACAACUUGACCUCAAAUCGAGUAGGACUACCCGCUGAACUUAAGCAUAUCAAUAAGCGGAGGA